rnacentral:pre_miRNA from 1 species
UUUUAUGGAUGAGCAAAGAAAAUGGUUUCCUGAGACAGAGUCCACUCCUGGUGAAAAUGCUGUGAA